AUGGGCCACGCCCAAUCGACCUCCCGCCACAAUGGCCGCGCCGGCGCCGCCAACGGCGUCGAGCCGCCGCUGCCGUCCCGCUUCUCCCGGUUCCGCAGCCGCCUGCGCCUUCGCCGCCACCGCGGCCGUGACCGCUGCGGCGCCGCGGGGGACUCCAGCGAGUCGGGGAAGGGCGUCGCCGCCGACGAGUUCGCCGGCAUCGCGCGCAUCCGGAUAGUCAAGGCGGACCUGCGGUUCAAGGACAAGUUCUUCGCCUGCCUCUCGCUCGGGGAGCGCACCUACCGCACCGAGACCUCCGACAGCACUCACAGGCCUGUAUGGAAUUCAGAAAAGAAGGUUGUAAUAGAAACAAAUGGACCUCAUAUUGCACGAAUAUCUGUUUUUGAGACUAACCGGUUCUCCAAGAAUACCUUGGUUGGUUACUGUGAAGUUGAUCUCUUUGACUUGCUCACUAAGGACUUGGAGGAGGAACACGCUGAGGACCUUGCUUUGUUGGACCCAUCAUCGUCCAUUACCACCAUGGGAACCAUAUCCGUAUCCUGCUACAUUGAAGAUCCUGUUGAAACAGAACAAAGCUUUGCACGCCGGGUCUUAGCUAUAGUGGACUACAAUGAAGAUGGAAAGCUCUCCUUAUCUGAAUUCUCGGACUUGAUGAAAGCUUUUGGUAAUGGGCUAGCAGUUAAUAAGAUUGAAGAGCUUUUCCGCCAAGCAGAUACAAAUGGUGAUGGCAUAGUUGACAUGGAUGAACUAGCAGCCCUGCUAGCUGAUCAGCAAGAGAAAGAACCAAUUAUCAGUAACUGUCCUGUCUGUGGUGAAAGUCUGGGGAAGUAUGAUAAAAUAAAUGAUAUGAUACACAUGACACUUUGCUUUGAUGAGGGCACUGGCAAUCAGAUUAUGACUGGGGGAUUUCUAACGGAUAAGCAAGCUGCAUAUGGGUGGAUGUUUAAGCUUAGUGAAUGGGCUAAUUUUUCCUCGUAUGAUGUUGGUUUGCGCUCUGGCUCUACUGCCUCACAUAUUCUGGUUUUUGAUCGGCGAACAAAGAGGCUAGUUGAAGAAGCAAUAGAUGGAAAGAUAGUGUUGUCCAUGAGGGCUUUAUAUCAGUCAAAAGUAGGGCUCACCCUUAUUGAUUCAGGUGUCAAAGAUAUCUUGAAGAACCUAUCUGAGAAGCAAGGAAAGAAGAUGAAUUCGCCAGAAUCUGCCAAAGAUAUUCCAAAGUUCCUCGAGUUAUUUGCGGGUCAAAUUAAUAUGGAUGAGACUAAGGACCCUAUUGAAAGUUUUAAGACGUUUAAUGAAUUUUUCAUCAGACAAUUGAAACCCAGUGCCAGGCCCAUUGCACAAAUUGAUGAUGGUAGUAUUGCUACCUGUGCUGCUGAUUGCCGUUUGAUGGCCUAUAGUUCUGUCGAUGAGAGCACAAGAUUUUGGAUUAAGGGUCGCAAAUUUUCAAUUGAGGGUCUCCUAGGGGCGGAUGCACACCAUAAUGCUUUUAAAAAUGGAUCAUUGGUAAUUUUUCGGCUUGCACCUCAGGAUUACCAUAGGUUUCAUGUACCCGUCUCAGGAACUGUAGAGAAAUUUGUGGAAAUUCCUGGAUGCUUGUACACGGUUAAUCCCAUUGCCGUAAACAGCAAGUAUUGUAAUGUAUUCACCGAAAAUAAAAGAGUUAUCUCAAUAAUUUCAACUUCGGAGUUUGGGAAGGUGGCUUUUGUUGCCAUCGGAGCAACUAUGGUAGGAAGCAUUGCAUUCGUGAAAAAGGAGGGCGACUACGUCCACAAGGGAGAAGAGUUUGGAUAUUUCUCUUUUGGAGGGAGCACGGUAAUCUGUGUGUUUGAGAAGGAUGCGAUACAAUUCGAUGCUGAUCUUCUAGCCAACAGCGAAAGAUCACUGGAAACUCUUGUCGAGGUUGGCACAACAUUGGGCGUCUCCAAACGGAACAGAGGGCUAAAAGUUUCGGAGCUACAGAAGUGUUCAAUUGAAUGA
rnacentral:rRNA from 1 species